rnacentral:rRNA from 1 species
AUUGAACGCUGGCGGCAGGCCUAACACAUGCAAGUCGGACGGUAGCACAGAGGAGCUUGCUCCUCGGGUGACGAGUGGCGGACGGGUGAGUAAUGUCUGGGGAUCUGCCCGAUAGAGGGGGAUAACCACUGGAAACGGUGGCUAAUACCGCAUAACGUCGCAAGACCAAAGAGGGGGACCUUCGGGCCUCUCACUAUCGGAUGAACCCAGAUGGGAUUAGCUAGUAGGCGGGGUAACGGCCCACCUAGGCGACGAUCCCUAGCUGGUCUGAGAGGAUGACCAGCCACACUGGAACUGAGACACGGUCCAGACUCCUACGGGAGGCAGCAGUGGGGAAUGUUGCACAAUGGGCGCAAGCCUGAUGCAGCCAUGCCGCGUGUAUGAAGAAGGCCUUCGGGUUGUAAAGUACUUUCAGCGGGGAGGAAGGCGAUGUGGUUAAUAACCGCGUCGAUUGACGUUACCCGCAGAAGAAGCACCGGCUAACUCCGUGCCAGCAGCCGCUGUAA